CCUACGGGUGGCUGCAGUGGGGAAUUUUCCGCAAUGGGCGCAAGCCUGACGGAGCAAGACCGCGUGAGGGAGGAAGGCUUUUGGGUCGUAAACCUCUUUUGUCAGGGAAGAAUACAAUGACGGUACCUGACGAAUCAGCAUCGGCUAACUCCGUGCCAGCAGCCGCGGUAAUACGGAGGAUGCAAGCGUUAUCCGGAAUUAUUGGGCGUAAAGCGUCCGCAGGUGGUUGGGCAAGUCCAUUGUUAAAGCCAGUCGCUUAACGACUGAACAGCAGU
rnacentral:rRNA from 1 species